GAAAUAACAUGAUGUGCAAAAUUAGACUUUGCAAAAUAAGCUUAACAAUGCAUGCAUCCUAAGUGUGUGCGCGCUCAAAUUAUUCAUUUAUUCUUUCUACCAAAACCUCAUAUAAUCAAUCAGAUUUAUCAAUCAAACAAAACAACAUCCCCGGAAUUAUAUUUCCAUCCGUUGGCAUUAGCUUAACAUAUCUCAAAAUAAAAAGAAUCUCGUAGCAAUCAUCUACUGACCAAAACAGAUCAUAUGCAAGUAAAUAGAGGAACAUAAAAUACAUAAUAUACUCCCUCACAAAACAUGUAUAUGUAUAUAUAUUAAUAUCAAAUCCCCACUUUAAAACUAUUAUACACUAAAACUAAUUGGGCCAUCAAAUAAUAUAGUUAGUGGUGCCUCAACCAAUUAAAACAAAAAAAAAGAAAGAAAGAAAGGAAGGGGUCAACAACUUAUUAUUAUAAAAAAAACUCCCAGCCACCUUUCUUUAAACGCAUAUCUUAAAAAAAAUACUCCCAACCAAAACAUACGUACAUACUCCCUACUCAACUCCAUACACCAUACUGCCAACCUUAACCGGGUCACUUCUAAACAAAAGCCCGGUAGGCCUAUUAAACAAAAAAAUGAUUUAGUUAGGGGCCCAAAAUUUGUAAGUGAAUUAAAUGGCCCAAGCCAUUAAACAAAUGAACUACAGUAUACUCCCUUCCAUCAUCAACGUAUCUCUCUCCCUUCUCCUUUCAAACACAGCAACUCUCUGUCUCUCUCUCUAUCUCAAAUUUUCACUCUCUGCCUCUGUAAAACUCACGCCCCCCCCCCUCAAUCUAUAUUAUUCUUCUAAAAUUCACAAACCAUCUCUCGAAUUUUGGUGUCUCAAUUUAGGAACAACAAAUCCCCAAAAUUAGAAGCACAAAGCUGACAUCUUUCUCCCCCUCGAUCUCUCCUCGCCAUUGAUAGAACUCGCCGCCGCCAGAUCAGUGCGGCAGCUUCUGUCAAAACACUGCCGCCGCGGCCUACCGUCGCCGAGUAGCUCCGCCCCUCACAACUUAUGAUUCAGAAAAAAAAUAGUGGAUAUAUCUUCACGGAAGAAGCAGAACUUGCAGAAGAGAAGGUAUUGAAAAGAUAACAACUCUUCGGGUUUCUCCUCCAGACGGUUUGUUGAGAUUGUGGGAGGAGAUGUAUAAAUGGAGUUAAUAGAGUAUUUGGUUGGAGAUUUUUAAGGAGUGGUGGAGAGAUUUUAGGAGUAGAGGUUUUGGUGAAUAAAGAAAACGUGUAGGAGGGUUUAGAGGAAGAGAUUUAUGUUGGCUGCAUGAAUGAAAUAGGAAUUAGGAAUAAAUGGUUAUAUUAAAAAUAGCCCAAUUGAAUAAGGAUAAAUGGGCUAAAAAAAAUAGACAAAAGUGAUAGGCCCAAAAAUAUAUAAUUUUAGUACAUUGAUUAAAUUGUGGUGUUUUAUUAAUUUAGUACUUUGGUGUUAUUCCAA